AUUUAUAUUUACUAAUUACAAUAAUUGAAUAAUAAUUUUUGUAAACACUACGGAAGCAAUAACAGUUACGAUACAUAGUAUAGGGAUUAAUAACCUUUAAAAAGGAUUUGAAUAUGGCAAGCUAGCAAGCGUCUCAAAGAUUCACAAGAAAAGACGACGGAGAAAGAAAUACGAGAGUUGUUUCGAAUGUUCGAUACAAACAAUGACAGAUCUAUAUCGGCGCAGGAACUUGGCAAGGCAAUGAAGUUCUUAGGUAUGAGUCCUACAGAGCAGGAGGUUUCAGACGCCAUGAGAGCACUCGAUGUUAA
rnacentral:lncRNA from 1 species